GCAUUAGUGGUGUAAUGGUAACAUUGUGGCUUCCCAUCAAGAAAUUGGGGAGCAGCUACAGCUUCGGGUUCGAUUCCCGGCUAAUGCA